rnacentral:rRNA from 1 species
UUUCGGGGUUCGGCUCGACUCUCCCACCCUUUGUGAACGUACCUCUGUUGCUUUGGCGGCUCCGGCCGCCAAAGGACCUCCAAACUCCAGUCAGUAAACGCAGACGUCUGAUAAACAAGUUAAUAAACUAAAACUUUCAACAACGGAUCUCUUGGUUCUGGCAUCGAUGAAGAACGCAGCGGAAUGCGAUAAGUAAUGUGAAUUGCACAAUUCAGUGAAUCAUCGAAUCUUUGAACGCACAUUGCGCCCCUUGGUAUUCCGGGGGGCAUGCCCGUUCGCUCGUCUAUAUCCCCCUCACGCACUGCUCGAUGCGGACCUCCGGGGUUUUGAUCUCAUCGAUGUCCUUAAAUUCAUUCUUUAUUCGCCCCUUGAUGAACUUCCUCUUCUUCUUGUGUCUCCGGUAGGCCCUGAGGAUGGUCGCUAGCAGCGCUGGUUUGCACACGAACAUUAACUGCAGGGCCCAUAGCCGGAUGUGGUAGAUGGGGAAGUAGUGAUCAUAGCGUAAGUUCUUGCGGUCUGGCUGUUCUUUGUUGCUGACCUCACGGCCUGCUCAACCCCCACCCCUCCUUGCCACCUUUACCACGAUGAUUAUAGCCAACAUGCACAGGACUGCCAACAGAUCUUUCCAAUGCUGGGGAGUGUUUGNCACCCCUCCCGCGAUUCUUUCGCUUUCGCCCCUAUCUAUCUCCUACUCCGGGCGGUUUGCUCUAAAAACACUAUGCCCCACCUUUUCUCGCUUUAUCUUUUUUUUCUUUUUUUUCUUCGCACUUCUCCUGAUCCUUCACUGUCCUU